rnacentral:lncRNA from 1 species
UUAUCCGUCCGCCCUUUUCUUUCCCGUCUCUUCCGUCUCGCCAUCCAUCUCCUGAUCUCUUUUCUCUCCCUCGCCGUAUAUCGCUUCAUCCGACCCUGCUGCACUACUCCAGUAUCAUGCGCUGCUCUAGCCUCGUACCCAGUUCCCUCGCUAUCUCGCUCUAACCUCGUCACACCGCAUAUCCACCAGGCCUGCCUUGCCGUCUCACUUCGGCCCUGCCGCACCACUCCGUCUCCGCCGUGGCGGUCCCGUCCCAUCUCCACCAUGCCGGUGUCUGGCUGUGCGCACCGGCUCCGGCGCAGCCCUUCGCCACCGCGUGCUCUCCUCUGUUGGUGCCUGGCCGGCGGCCCCUUCUUCUGUUGUGCCGCAUCGAGCUGUGUCGGUUGGGAGGCUGGGUGGCAUUUUUGUGUGAAAAUUAAGCUAAUUUCAGGGAUAUUUUGGUACUAUCAAUGCGACAGGGAGGGGAGGAGCGGUGGGGAGCCACAUUUUCGGCUCUGCAUGCAGUUCAUUUUCUGGGGUGGCUUCGCUUGGCUUCAGCCCUGGAGCACUUUUCUACUGCGUAGCAGCAGAAACAGCUGGCAGGACACGUAACAUGCGGUGGGCGGCGCAUCGCGCAUGGUGUCGUCGCAACGCAGAGCUGCUGCUUCUUUUUUUUUUCCUCAUCGGACGAAUGGUUUGGUCCUGCCACCGGCGGUCUGCAGGUGGCUUGUCGCCUGCAGUUGCAGCGGCUACGCGCGACAGCAAAUAAAAGUCCCGAAAGCAAGUCGCCGGCCUAGCUAAUCCAGCAAACUGAGCUAUAUUAUUAGAAUUUCUUUUGAAAGGAUACGAGACGCAAUACUGCUAUCUUGCCCUUGGAAGCAACUACUGGAAGCAACUAAUUAGACGCACUUGGUCUCGUGGAUCUUAUGAUCUGUUUAGACGUACUAUUGCUAAAGUUUAGCAAGUGCUAAAAUUAGCACUUCCACCUAUUAACACUUCUGUUUGGAGACGUGACUAAUAGAUAGAGUUAAAGUUCAUUAAAUGUCAAUUUUGCCUCUUUAUCUCCUCACCUCCCCUUUCUCUCUCUCCUUUUUAUCUUUUCACAAGCCAUUAGCACCCAUUAGCUCCUCCCCACUGGCUAAUCUUUUCACUUUUUGGAGAGAGCAACCCUCCCGUUUCGAUGGGCUAAUGCAUAAAAAGUGCUAAACUUUAACACUUUCACUCAUUAGCACUUGGAUCCAAACGUACCUUUAAUUCUCUCGUUUCCCUAAUCCAGCACACAACUAUGAGCUCGGCCCAGUUUUUAACUCAGAGGUUGCCUAGCCAGACCCAACAAUAUUCUUGAUAAAGAUUGGGAAACAAGACACACUCACACACCACUACACCAGCUGACCAGCACCACUCUUAAAAAAAGAGAGGAUGAAAUUCAUUUUUGACCUUUCAACUAUCGCAUGAGUUUGAUUUGACCAUUCAAUUCUAGAAUCGGGUAUUCUUGACCCUCCAACUGCCAACACCGUUCAUGUUUGACAACCUACCUACUUUAAGUUUCGUUGAUGUGGAUGACACUUGGCAUUGGAGCGCACAUGUAAGCUCAUUCUUCUCUCUUCUAUUCUCUUUUUCUUUCUUCUCUCUCCUCCUUUCCUCUCUCCUGCCCCCUCGGUACGACCACGCAGCGGCCGUAGC